rnacentral:sRNA from 1 species
GUGACAAUUCCCUCGGUGAGCUCUCCGAUUUGUUCCAAGGCAACUUCCAGAUGUGAACACAUGAUUGCUGCGUCGUUACACGUUACAGCUGACUCCAAUUCGAAUGAGCAUCUUCUGAAAUUAAAACAACUUUGAAUAUUAUUUUUUGACAAAAAAAAACCUUAACAGAUCUGCAUCUAGUAAAUAACUUGCUUCAGGACACAGAUCAUCUACAAUUUCUCCCAAACAGUUUUGAAGUUGUUUGCAGCCAGUAUCUGUGGUAGCAUUUGUAGAUACAGUAGUGAAAUUUGAGGGAAGUUUUGGAUACUUCAGACUCAGAUCAGACUUAUUCUUUGCAAUAAUCACACGAGCUUCGCGAUUUCGCAUCACUUCCACGUCAUUCAAAAUCGAUUCAACAUCGUCAUCCGACGUGAAUUGUGGAUCCACGACAACGCAGAUAAUGUCAGCUGAUUGGAUUCGUUUUUGAGCACGUCGAAUACCUUCUGCCUCAAUGACGUCAUUAGUUUUUUGUCGAACUCCAGCAGUGUCUGUGAGACGGCAUCGAACUCCGUUAAUUUGAAUGAUUGUCU